rnacentral:rRNA from 1 species
CCAUAGCGGAGGAAAAGAAACUAACAAGGAUUCCCCUAGUAACGGCGAGCGAAGCGGGAAGAGCUCAAAUUUGAAAGCUGGCACCUUCGGUGUCCGCGUUGUAAUCUCGAGACGUGUUUUCCGUGUGGCGCUUGGACAAGUCCCUUGGAACAGGGCAUCGUAGAGGGUGAAAAUCCCGUACUUGCCAUGGCUGUACCAUGCUUUGUGAUACACGCUCUAAGAGUCGAGUUGUUUGGGAUUGCAGCUCAAAAUGGGUGGUAGACUCCAUCUAAAGCUAAAUAUCGGGGAGAGACCGAUAGCGAACAAGUACCGUGAGGGAAAGAUGAAAAGCACUUUGGAAAGAGAGUUAAAAGUACGUGAAAUUGUCGAAAGGGAAGCGCUUGAAGUCAGCCAUGCUGCUUGAGACUCAGCCUUGCUUUUGCUUGGUGUAUUUCUCGGUAGCAAGCCAGCAUUGGUUCGAGUCGUCGGAGAAGGGUAUGAGAAAUGUGGCAUCCUCGGAUGUGUUAUAGACUUGUACUGGAUACGACGAUUUGGAUCAAGGAACGCAGUGUGCUUCUGGCGGGUCUUCGGACACCUUCACACUUAGGAUGCGGCGUAAGGUUAAGCGCG